UACGGAGGGUGCAAGCGUUAUCCGGAUUCACUGGGUUUAAAGGGUGCGUAGGUGGGCAGGUAAGUCAGUGGUGAAAUCUCCGGGCUUAACCCGGAAACUGCCAUUGAUACUAUCUGUCUUGAAUACCGUGGAGGUGAGCGGAAUAUGUCAUGUAGCGGUGAAAUGCUUAGAUAUGACAUAGAACACCGAUAGCGGAGGCAGCUUGCUACACAGUCAUUGACACUGAGGCACGAAAGCGUGGGGAUCAAACAGG
rnacentral:rRNA from 1 species